rnacentral:rRNA from 1 species
UACAGAGGUCCCAAGCGUUGUUCGGAUUCACUGGGCGUAAAGGGUGCGUAGGUGGUGAGGUAAGUCGGAUGUGAAAUCUCCGAGCUCAACUCGGAAACUGCAUUGGAAACUACCUUGCUCGAGGGUUGGAGGGGGGACUGGAAUGCUUGGUGUAGCAGUGAAAUGCGUAGAUAUCUGGAGGAACACCGGUGGCGAAGGCGGUUCUCUGGGCAUGUCCUGACGCUGAGGAGCGAAAGUGUGGGGAGCGAACAGG